rnacentral:rRNA from 1 species
UAACCAGAGCUAUUCUUGCAAGAACGCCCGACCUUCACGGAAGGGUUGUAUUUAUUGGAUACCAAAACCAAACCGUACUUGUGCGGUUGCGUUUGUUGAUUCGCAAUAACUGAUCGGACCGCUUCCCAGGAAGCGGUAGGUCGUUCGACAUUCUGCCCUAUCAGCUUUCGAUGGUAAUGUAGUGGAUUACCAUGGCCAUAACGGGUAACGGAGAAUCAGGGUUCGAUUCCGGAGAAGGAGCUUGAGAAUUGGCUACUACAUCUAAGGAAGGCAGCAGGCGCGCAAAUUACCCAAUCCUGACUCAGGGAGGUAGUGACAAAAAAUAACAAUACCGGCUCUCUUUGGGGCUGGUAAUUGGAAUGAGAACGAGUUAAACUUUCUAUCGAGGAUCCAUUGGGGGGCAAGUCUGGUGCCAGCAGCCGCGGUAAUACCAGCUCCAAUAGCGUAUGUUAAAGUUGUUGCAGUUAAAAAGCUCGUAGUUGGACUUGUGUGCGCCGGAUGCGGCGAUCUGCGGCCAAAAGGUCGUUGCGAUCAGCCCGUCCUGGCGCCGUAAAAUUUGCAACUGAGUCGCCUCUGGUCUUAAUUGCUCGGUGGCGUCUGCUCGGUUGCUCGUUUACUGUGAGAAAAUUGGAGUGUUCAAGGCAGGCGUGGAUUGCAACUGAACAUGUUAGCAUGGAAUAAUAAGAUAGGGCUCCGGCUCAUAUUUUGUUGGUUUCUAGAGCGUGGGAGUAAUGAUUGAUAGGGACAGUUGGGGGUGCUAGUAUUCAGCGGCCAGAGGUGAAAUUCAUGGAUUCGCUGAAGACUGACUUAUGCGAAAGCAUUCACCAAGGAUGUCCUCUUUAAUCAAGAAUGAAAGUUGGGGGAUCGAAGACGAUCAGAUACCGUCGUAGUCUCAACCAUAAACGAUGUCGACUAGGGAUUGGCUCGUUUUCAUAUA